rnacentral:lncRNA from 1 species
GCCCUGCGCGAGAGUUUGGAUUCUAACACUGAGAGCCGGUGGGCGGAAGUCGCAGGGGCCCUGCGUGUCCUGUGCAGAGUUCUGCGGUGCGGUGAGAGGUUCUGAGGGUGCCCCGAGCUUCGCAUCACUGUAGAUCCUCAGUGCCCAUGACACACACGGCACCCUCACCGUGGAAAGGAAACAACUUAAGUUAAUUCCUCAUCUUCUCACAAGUCAAAGAUGGCCUGUCUGCUCAGCUGCUCUCCUGGUAACCUCUAGACCCUCACUCAGCUUUCGGUUCCUGAGAAAAUUGGAUCUGCCAGCAAAGAGGCAAGAGAGGAAACAUACCUGUUGACAUGAAUUUGUCCCAGAAGCCCCAGAGGGUGCACCCACAGGAGCAGGAUGGGUCAUGUGAGAGAUUGGUGUCCUUUGAGGAUGUGACUGUGGACUUUAGCCAGGAGGAGUGGCGGCGCCUGGACCCUGCCCAGAGACGCCUGUACCAGGAGGCUACCCUAUUCCCAGCCCUGGGGCCAUCUUCAGGAUAAAGAAAAGAAAGAAGACACAGACAGGAGAGGCUAAGUUCCCACAUCAUCAGUGUUGGUGUCAAGAAGUACUGUGGCAAGACCCCGACCUUACAAAAAGAGAUGGACAAAGCCAGAUCCCACCCUGGAGUCCUGGUGCUUUCCUCAACAAGAAAACACAGAACACAGACAGAGACUGUGGUUGUAAAGAGCCCGGAAAAACCACCCCCUUGGUAUCUAACCUUAUUUCUACACAAAAGGGAGCUCCAAAGUCACUUGCGAAACAUUUGAAGCGCAACCUUGAAGCAAAUG